rnacentral:lncRNA from 1 species
AAUUUAUAUUACAUAUAUAGAGCACAAUUUUUCACAUCUCUGGUUGUAUACAAAGUAUGUUGACACCAAUUCGUGUCUUCAUACAUGUACUUUGGAUAAUGAUGUCCAUCACAUUCCACCAUCCUUGCUAAUCCCCUGUCCCCUCCCUUUGCCUCUCACCCCUCUGCCCUAUCUAGAGUUUGUCUAUUCUUCCCACGCUCCCCCUCCCUACCCCGCUAUGAACCAUCAGCCUCCUUAUAUCAGAAAACAUUUGGCAUUUGGGCUUUUGGGAUUGGUUAACUUCACUUAGCACUAUCUUCUCUAACUCCCUCCAUUUACCUGCAAAUACCAUGAUUUUAUUCUUUUAUUGCUGAGUAAUAUUCCAUUGUGUAUAUAUGCCACAUUUUUUUUAUCCAUUCAUCUAUUGAAGGGCAUCUAGGUUGGUUCCACAGUUUAUCUAUUGUGAAUUGUGCUGCUAUAAACAUUGAUAUGGCUGUGUCCUUGUAGUAUGCUGUUUUUAAGACUGAGGAGAGGGAUAGCUGGGUCAAAUGGUGGUUCCAUUCCCAAUUUUCCAAGAAAUGUCCAUACUACUUUCCAUAUUGGCUGCACCAAUUUGCAGUCCCACCAGCAGUGUAUGAGUAUACCUUUCCCCCCACAUCCUUGCCAAUACUUAUAGUUGUUUGUAUGCAUAAUAGCUGCCAUUCUGACUGGAGUGAGAUGAAAUCUUAGAGUAGUUUUGAAUUGCAUUUCUCUGAUUACUAGUGAUAAUGAACUUUUUUUCAUUUAUUUGUUGAUUGAUUGUAUAUCCUCUUUUGAGAAGUGUCUGUUCAGGUCCUUGGCCCAUUUAUUUUGGUGCUUAGCUUUUUGAGUUCUUUAUAUACCCUAGAGAUUAGUGCUCUAUCUGAUGUGUGAGGGGUAAAGAUUUGCUCCCAAG